UUAAAGGUUUGUGUUUGCACUUAUGUG
rnacentral:piRNA from 1 species